rnacentral:rRNA from 1 species
CCUACGGGAGGCAGCAGUGGGGAAUUUUGGACAAUGGGCGAAAGCCUGAUCCAGCCAUGCCGCGUGCGGGAAGAAGGCCUUCGGGUUGUAAACCGCUUUAGUCCGGGAAAAAGGGGUGCGAGGAUAAUACCCUUGUGCUUUGAUGGUACUGGAAGAAUAAGCACCGGCUAACUACGUGCCAGCAGCCGCGGUAAUACGUAGGGUGCGAGCGUUAAUCGGAAUUACUGGGCGUAAAGCGUGCGCAGGCGGUCUUGUAAGACAGUCGUGAAAGCCCCGGGCUUAACCUGGGAACUGCGAUUGUGACUGCAAGGCUAGAGUGUGUCAGAGGGGGGUGGAAUUCCACGUGUAGCAGUGAAAUGCGUAGAGAUGUGGAGGAACACCGAUGGCGAAGGCAGCCCCCUGGGAUAACACUGACGCUCAUGCACGAAAGCGUGGGGAGCAAACAGGAUUAGAUACCCUGGUAGUCCACGCCCUAAACGAUGUCAACUGGUUGUUGGAAGGGUUAAACCUUUUAGUAACGAAGCUAACGCGUGAAGUUGACCGCCUGGGGAGUACGGUCGCAAGAUUAAAACUCAAAUGAAUUGACGG